rnacentral:tRNA from 1 species
GCUCCGUUCGUCUAGGGGUUAGGACGCCAGGUUUUCAUCCUGGUAGCACGGGUUCGAAUCCCGUACGGAGUACAA